rnacentral:rRNA from 1 species
GAUGAACGCUGGCGGCGUGCCUAAUACAUGCAAGUCGAGCGAACAGACGAGGAGCUUGCUCCUCUGACGUUAGCGGCGGACGGGUGAGUAACACGUGGAUAACCUACCUAUAAGACUGGGAUAACUUCGGGAAACCGGAGCUAAUACCGGAUAAUAUAUUGAACCGCAUGGUUCAAUAGUGAAAGACGGUUUUGCUGUCACUUAUAGAUGGAUCCGCGCCGCAUUAGCUAGUUGGUAAGGUAACGGCUUACCAAGGCGACGAUGCGUAGCCGACCUGAGAGGGGGAUCGGCCACACUGGAACUGAGACACGGUCCAGACUCCUACGGGAGGCAGCAGUAGGGAAUCUUCCGCAAUGGGCGAAAGCCUGACGGAGCAACGCCGCGUGAGUGAUGAAGGUCUUCGGAUCGUAAAACUCUGUUAUUAGGGAAGAACAAAUGUGUAAGUAACUAUGCACGUCUUGACGGUACCUAAGCAGAAAGCCACGGCUAACUACGG